rnacentral:rRNA from 1 species
UACGGGAGGCAGCAGUGGGGAAUAUUGCACAAUGGGCGAAAGCCUGAUGCAGCUAUGCCGCGUGUAUGAAGAAGGCCUUAGGGUUGUAAAGUACUUUCAUCGGGGAGGAAAAAACAAAACUAAUAAUUUUAUUUCUUGACGUUACCCGAAAAAGAAGCACCGGCUAACUCCGUGCCAGCAGCCGCGGUAAUACGGAGGGUGCUAGCGUUAAUCAGAAUUACUGGGCGUAAAGAGCACGUAGGUGGUUUUUUUAAGUCAGAUGUGAAUCCCUGGGCUUAACCUGGAACUGCAUUUUGAAACUGAAAUACUAGAGUAUCAUAGAGGGAGGUAGAAUUCUAGGUGUAGCGGUGAAAUGCGUAGAUAUCUGGAGGAAUACCUGUGGCGAAAGCGGCCUCCUAAACGAAUACUGACACUGAGGUGCGAAAGCGUGGGGAGCAAACAGGGAUUAGAUACC